GACGAACCGUGCGAACGUUAUUCGGAAUCACUGGGCUUAAAGCGCGUGUAGGCGGGAGGGCACGUCCGUCGCUGAAAUCCCCCGGCUCAACCGGGGAACGGGCGCGGAUACGACCUUCCUUGAGAGGCGUAGGGGGACCUGGAACUUCCGGUGGAGCGGUGAAAUGCGUUGAGAUCGGAAGGAACGCCCGUGGCGAAAGCGAGGUCCUGGACGCCUACUGACGCUGAGACGCGAAAGCCAGGGGAGCGAACGGG
rnacentral:rRNA from 1 species